rnacentral:tRNA from 1 species
GCGUCCGUAGCUCAGCUGGACAGAGCACCAGGCUACGAACCUGGGGGCCAGGGGUUCGAAUCCUCUCGGACGCGCCA